AGAAUCAACGCUGGCGACGUGCCUAACACAUGCAAGUCGAACGAGAAAGUGGAGCAAUCCAUGAGUAAAGUGGCGCACGGGUGAGUAACACGUGACUAACCUACCCUUGAGUGGGGAAUAACUUCGGGAAACCGAGGCUAAUACCGCAUAACACCUACGGGUCAAAGGAGCAAUUCGCUUAAGGAGGGGGUCGCGGCAGAUUAGUUAGUUGGCGGGGUAAUGGCCCACCAAGACGGUGAUCUGUAUCCGGCCUGAGAGGGCGCACGGACACACUGGAACUGAAACACGGUCCAGACUCCUACGGGAGGCAGCAGUGGGGAAUUUUGCGCAAUGGGGGAAACCCUGACGCAGCAACGCCGCGUGGAGGAUGAAGUCCCUUGGGACGUAAACUCCUUUCGAUCGGGACGAUUAUGACGGUACCGGAAGAAGAAGCCCGGCUAACUUCGCGCCAGCAGCCGC
rnacentral:rRNA from 1 species